AGCUCCAAUAGCGUAUAUUAAUGUUGUUGCGGUUAAAAAGCUCGUAGUUGGAUCUCGGUGGGUAGGGGGCGGUUAUCCGCUUGGAUCUACUGCCCCAUUUGCUCAUCGUUUUGACGGAGGUUUCAGGGUGCCCUUGAUUGAGUGUCCUGAGAUGCCGUCAGGUUUACUUUGAAAAAAUUAGAGUGCUCAAAGCAGGCUUUUCUGGCUUGAAUAUUCGUGCAUGGAAUAAUAGAAUAGGAGUUCGUUUCUAUUUUGUUGGUUUUAGGAAAUUGAACUAAUGAUUAAUAGGGACAGCCGGGGGCAUUAGUACUCAGACGACAGAGGUGAAAUUCUUGGACCGUCUGAUGACUAACUACUGCGAAAGCAUUUGCCAAGAGUGUUU
rnacentral:rRNA from 1 species